CCCAAACCAGAGCCAACAGCACAUACACAGGAGGCCUAUGUAACUAGAGCGCCCUGCGGAGGGUGCUCCUCACCACCAUCACAGGCAUGCCAAGCAAAAUGUGAAAAAACAGUGACCCAUCCAUUCAGAAGACCACCGUGCUGCACCAUAGGAUUGUACGCAUUAUGGAUGACUGGUGUCUUUAUGGAUGACGUGCCAGAAUGCUGUGUCUCAUCAGGAAGCUGUAUACCCUGGAUGGAUUCAAGAUAAGACCCUCCAUGAGGAUGUUUAUUAGUGUGAGAGCAGGUAGUUUUCUAUUCUUCUUUUGGAAAACCUACAGCUACAGAAGGCAAGAAGUCUACAUUAAGCUAUGUUUUACCAACAUUGGCAACCUGACUAUGAGACUGAGAGCCGAUUAGAUGAGUAUUAGUCCUCACUUCAAGAUUUAAACAUGUGCUUUAAUAUUCCUUGUCCACCUGACAUUUCCUGAUUGAGGAUGAAGAAAAAAAAAUUCAAGCAACAUGUCAGAUCUAUGCCUAUAGUUCAUGUCAG